rnacentral:rRNA from 1 species
CCUACGGGCGGCAGCAGUGGGGAAUAUUGGACAAUGGGGGGAACCCUGAUCCAGCCAUGCCGCGUGUGUGAAGAAGGCCCUCGGGUUGUAAAGCACUUUCAGUGAGGAAGAACGCCUGGUGGUUAAUACCCAUCAGGAAAGACAUCACUCACAGAAGAAGCACCGGCUAACUCCGUGCCAGCAGCCGCGGUAAUACGGAGGGUGCGAGCGUUAAUCGGAAUUACUGGGCGUAAAGCGCGCGUAGGUGGCUUGAUAAGCCGGUUGUGAAAGCCCCGGGCUCAACCUGGGAACGGCAUCCGGAACUGUCAAGCUAGAGUGCAGGAGAGGAAGGUAGAAUUCCCGGUGUAGCGGUGAAAUGCGUAGAGAUCGGGAGGAAUACCAGUGGCGAAGGCGGCCUUCUGGACUGACACUGACACUGAGGUGCGAAAGCGUGGGUAGCAAACAGGAUUAGAGACCCGAGUAGUC